rnacentral:rRNA from 1 species
AUGGCAAAGUACAUCAAAGGGUAUGAGCAGGUCAAUAAGAUGACAAAAGAUAAGGCUCUUCAAGAUAGAAUCUAUGAGGCAGUACUUGCUCCCUAUGUCGGCAAGAAAGAAUGGCGCAUACUUGUGAGGACGAAUGAAAUCAUGCUGAAAACCUACACUCACAAGAAGGGAAGGAGCUACAUUGUGGCUACACCGUCGCUGCUGCCAGGUGAAAUGUUUCUAACGGCUCUGCAGUUGCGCGGAAUGCGUUUGGAUGAUGCAAAAUGCUUCUUGGAAUACCUGAGAAACAGAAUAAGCCACCGAAUGGAUUACCUUGACGAGCUGCAGAAGAAAUAUACCCAAGAGGGUUCAGACCUUGCUCAUGAUGCGCGUUUCUCUCUUGUUACCUGUAUUCUGCAGAAGGAGCUGUUUACAGCCAAGGGCAUAAUAAUUUAG